rnacentral:sRNA from 1 species
UUCUCUUUUCUCUGCAGCCUUGCCGGCAUCUGUUGGUUUUUGACUUUUCGUUAGUUGCCAUUCUGACUGAUGCGAGAUGGUAUCUCAUUGUGGUUUUGAUUUGCAUUUCUCUGAUGAUUAGUGAUGUUGAGCAUUUUUUCAUGUUUGUUGGCCACUUGUCCAUCUUCUUUUGAGAAGUGUCUGUUCAUGUCUUUUGCCCAUUUUUUUUUUUGAAACAGGGUCUCACUGUGUCACCCAGGGUGGAGUGUAGUGGCAUAAUCUUGGCUCACUGUAGCCUUGACCUCCUGGGCUGAAGCAGUCCUUCUAUCUCAGCCUCCUGAGUAGCUAGGACUAAAGGUGCACACCACCAUACUCAGCUAAUUUUGUUUAUAGUUUGUAGAGAUGAAGUCUCAUUAUAUUGCCCUGGCCGGUCUCAAACUCUGGGCUCCAGCUCUCUUCCUGCUUCGGCCUUCCAAAUUGCGAGAUCACAGGCAUGAGCCACGGCACCUGGCCUACCUUUGUUGAUUUUUAAACUUUUCAGAUCUAUUAGUUUUUGCCUUGUGUAUUUUGAAGCCAUCUUGUUUGGUGGAUAUACACUUAUUAUUGUUAUAUCUUCUUGGUGGAUUGAGCUUUUUAUAAUUUUGCAGUAGCCCUCCUUGGCUCUAGUGAUUUUUUUUUGCUUUGAAAUUUAUUUUAUCUGAUAUUGUUAUAGCCACUUCUGCUUUUUAAAAAUAAAUACUUGCAUGAUAUAUCUUUUUCCAUAUUUUUAUUUUCAAUCUAUACAUGUCAUUAUGUGUGAAAAGAAGUUUUUAUAGAUAUGUAUAGUUGGGUUGCAUUUUAAAAUUUACUGUGCCAAUCUCUCUUUUAAACGAUGUGUCUGUACCAUUUAUGUGUGUAGUUGUUGAUAUAUCAAGUCUGCUUUUUUCCUCAUUUUUUAUUUCCUUUCUUUCUCAUUUUUCUAUUUCUUUUUCUUGCCUUUCUGUGGAUUACUUGGAUAUUUUUUAGAGCUGCAUUUUUAUUUAUUUAUAAGUUUUUGAAACAUAUAGCUUCGUAUAGUUUUCUUAGUGGUUGGCCUAGGUAUUACUAUUUUUCUUAGUGGUUCCCCUGGUAUUACUUUAUACAUACUUAGUUUAUCAUAGCUUACUUUUUUACAUUUUUCAACUUUGAAUUAAGUAUAGAAAACUUUACUUCCAUUUAGGUCCUUUUACCCUCUCUUCUUUUUAAUUAUAAUUGUUUUAAGUAUUUCCCAUACAUACUUUGAGUAACAGAAGAGAUGGUUGCUUUUUCCAUAAAAUAUUAUUAAAGAAUUGUAUGUUAGCGAUAGUCUGUUAUGUGUACUUGUAUUUUUCCCCAUUCUGUUAUUAUUCUUUCCUUUCUGAAGAUCUCAGAUUUAUCAUUUUCUUUGUGUUAAGAGAGCUUCCUGAAGCCAUUCUUUCAUGGGACAUCUGGUAGUAUCAAAUUUUCUUAGUUUUCCUUUGUCCAGAAUGUCUUUUUUCACUCCUCAUUCCUGAAUGAUAGUUUGGCCAGAUACAGGAAAUGGGAUUAACAGUUACUUUCUUUCAGCACUUGAAAGAGAAAAGCCUGGCCAAGAUGGCAAGAUCCUGUUUCUACAGAAAAAAAAUUAAAAAUUAGCCAGGCCCAUGGUGGUGUGCGCCUGUAGUCCCAGCUACUUGGGAAGUUGAGGUGGGAGGAUUCCUUGAGCCCAGGAGUUCAAGGCGGCAGUGAGCUAUGAUUGUGCCUCUGUGCUUCAGCCACAUUUGGAGAAUGUGGCUCCAAAUGCCUAUCUCAGCCAGCAGUCUUAUGCACAAAUAUAAUAGGCAAGACUACCACCUCCAUUUUUACUAGAGGGAAGUGUAAUUUUUUUUUUCUUCAGACCAAAAUUUUUCCUCUAGAAUAUUCUUUUAACAGUGAAUUCUGUUAAGGGAAAGAGAAGACAAGAUUGUUGGGAUUUGGUAAAUUCUCACUCACUAAAAGAUGAAUUAAGCCCUAGCCUUUACAUAUAUGUUUUAGUUGAACAGAAGUGUAAAAUUAAUUUGUAGUAAUUGCACAAGCAUUCCAGAAGAUUGGCUUGAUACCUUAGUGGUCUUUUAAAGUCAGCUAUCAGAAGAACAUGAUGCGUAUUUGAUUUUAAAAAAUCUUUCGAGUCUUUAUUAGAGUUGAUUUUGUUUUCAUUAGUAAUCCUUUGAAAAUUUGCCAUAAGCAAGUCCUGCAAGCCCCAUACAUUUUUCGCACCAUCAAAAGCCUUCUCGGGAUUACCCCAAGAGUACUUAGAUUCACUGUGGUGUUUGUGAAGCCCCUUUGCAAAAUUAUGAGAGUAAGAGAACUCUGACAUAGUUGACUCCAUUUUGCUUCUAACUUCCAAGCUAUCUUUGAUCAUUCCUAGGUGUAGGCCAAGCUAAUUUUGGAUGGAAUUUAGUUUAUAGUUUAACCUUAAAGCAAGGAUGAUAAUAGUUCUUUCCCAAAUUAAACUGUCUUUUUAAAACUAAUGAAAGACUGCAAGGUUAGGAUUAUGAGAGGGGCCUGCAUUGUGCUAAAAUGUAGGUGUAGUUAAACAACAACCAGCCAUUGAUCCGGAUAUUAAAAGAUUUGUGACUUACCCAAUUAUUUCUCUAAAAUCCCUACUCUAGAACCUAAGAUUGGCCUUUUGAGAUGUUUUUCAGACUUCUGCAUUUCUGACUGUUGGGUGACUCCACCUGGACCCUCGACUCCUGACUCAACUGGUCCUGUGGCCUCCACCCGGAGGCAGACUCAGCACACAAGGAACAUUUUCCACACCGCUAUGAUUUCAUCCCCAGUCAGUCAACAUUCCUCAUUCCCUAGCCCCUUGCCUACUAAACUAUUCUUGAAAAACCCUAAUCUCUGAGGCUUCAGAGAGACUGAUUUGAGUGAUAGCUCUGUCUUCUGUGUGGCUGGCCUCCCGUUAAUUAAACUUUACUUAAUGCAA